rnacentral:rRNA from 1 species
AAAAGCGGAGGAAAAGAAACUAACAAGGAUUCCAGCGGAGGAAAAGAAACUAACAAGGAUUCCCCUAGUAACGGCGAGUGAAGAGGGAGAAGCCCAAAUUUGUAAUCUGGCUCUUUUUAUAAGGGUCCGAGUUGUAAUUUUGAGAACUGUUUUCUGUGCUGGACCAUGUACAAGUCUGUUGGAAAACAGCAUCAUUGAGGGUGAAAAUCCCGUACAUGAUAUGGACUACCAGGGCAAUAUGAUACAGUCUCUAAGAGUCGAGUUGUUUGGGAAUGCAGCUCAAAGUGGGUGGUAAAUUCCAUCUAAGGCUAAAUAUAGGUGAGAGACCGAUAGCAAACAAGUACCGUGAGGGAAAGAUGAAAAGAACUUUGGAAAGAGAGUUAACAGUACGUGAAAUUGUUAAAAGGGAAACAUUUGAAGUUAGACUUGUUAUUGUUGGAUCAGCUUCUUUUUUGAGGUGUAUUCUGAUGAUUAACAGACCAGCAUCAAUUUUUGAGUGCCGGAUAAGGGUUUUGGGAAUGUGGCAGCUUUUUGGUUGUGUUAUAGACCAUUACUUUGAUACGGUGCUUAGGAUUGAGGAACGCAGUAAGCUUUGUUGCAGAUUUUCUUUUUGAAAGUCUCCUUACUACGGAUGUUGGUGUAAUAGCUUUAAAUGACCCGUCU